rnacentral:lncRNA from 1 species
CCUCCGAGGUGGCCAAGGUCGCCGUCGGCCACGGCGACCCCGCUGCCGGCCGCCGCCACGACCACGACGACGCACCUGCUGCAAAGUAACUACUUAGUAGGCCUACGUGCGUACUACUGAGUCCUGACAUGCAGCCUACCUCAAAGAUUCGUAGUGGGCGUACGCGAGUUGUGUUUUGUUUACGUCCUAGCUCACUGGCCCGGUCGACAUGCAUCCUUCUUUGUUUGUUUCAUCUUUUUUGCGGGUUUUGGUCAUGGAUCGAUCCACCAUGCAUGCCCGAUUUUGUAUGCAUGGUUUAAAGCAUAACGAACCAGUACAAAAUAAAUAAAAGGCAUGUUGAUUUACAGUAAUUAUUCCAGUACUGGUCGCUAUAUGUUAACUGCCGGAUACUAAGUAAAUAUAUAUACAUGAUCGUAGGUAAAAAAGUGUAUUCAUGAUGUUCUUGGGCGUGCCGGGGGGUGAGGGAGCGAGGGAGGGCCAAAGGUGGCCUUCAGAUAUUAUUAGCCCUUCUGGGCUGGGCUCUGCUCUAGUCACCAGAAGAAGGAAUCCUGUCUUCUUGCGGAAUUCUGCUGCGCUAACAGGGUCAUAAGAAAAUGUUGUAUCCAAGUUUGACUUGGUCAAUGAAAGGUGAUUAAACGUACGGAGAUAAAACAAAUUACUCUCAGAGACUUCAAUUUAUUUUUAUUGUUUAGAUAACCGAGAUGUGAUUCAUAUUUUUCUAUAGUUUAGAUAACCGAGAGGUGAUUAAAUGUAU